UAAGGGCGCACGGUGGAUGCCUUGGCACUAGAAGCCGAUGAAGGACGUUACUAACGACGAUAUGCUUUGGGGAGCUGUAAGUAAGCUUUGAUCCAGAGAUUUCCGAAUGGGGAAACCCAGCAUGAGUUAUGUCAUGUUAUCGAUAUGUGAAUACAUAGCAUAUCAGAAGGCACACCCGGAGAACUGAAACAUCUUAGUACCCGGAGGAAGAGAAAGAAAAUUCGAUUCCCUUAGUAGCGGCGAGCGAAACGGGAAGAGCCCAAACCAACAAGCUUGCUUGUUGGGGUUGUAGGACACUCUAUACGGAGUUACAAAGGACGACAUUAGACGAAUCAUCUGGAAAGAUGAAUCAAAGAAGGUAAUAAUCCUGUAGUCGAAAAUGUUGUCUCUCUUGAGUGGAUCCUGAGUACGACGGAGCACGUGAAAUUCCGUCGGAAUCUGGGAGGACCAUCUCCUAAGGCUAAAUACUCUCUAGUGACCGAUAGUGAACCAGUACCGUGAGGGAAAGGUGAAAAGCACCCCGGAAGGGGAGUGAAAUAGAACCUGAAACCGUGUGCUUACAAGUAGUCAGAGCCCGUUAAUGGGUGAUGGCGUGCCUUUUGUAGAAUGAACCGGCGAGUUACGAUUUGAUGCAAGGUUAAGCAGUAAAUGUGGAGCCGUAGCGAAAGCGAGUCUGAAUAGGGCGUUUAGUAUUUGGUCGUAGACCCGAAACCAGGUGAUCUACCCUUGGUCAGGUUGAAGUUCAGGUAACACUGAAUGGAGGACCGAACCGACUUACGUUGAAAAGUGAGCGGAUGAACUGAGGGUAGCGGAGAAAUUCCAAUCGAACCUGGAGAUAGCUGGUUCUCUCCGAAAUAGCUUUAGGGCUAGCCUCAAGUGAUGAUUAUUGGAGGUAGAGCACUGUUUGGACGAGGGGCCCCUCUCGGGUUACCGAAUUCAGACAAACUCCGAAUGCCAAUUAAUUUAACUUGGGAGUCAGAACAUGGGUGAUAAGGUCCGUGUUCGAAAGGGAAACAGCCCAGACCACCAGCUAAGGUCCCAAAAUAUAUGUUAAGUGGAAAAGGAUGUGGCGUUGCCCAGACAACUAGGAUGUUGGCUUAGAAGCAGCCAUCAUUUAAAGAGUGCGUAAUAGCUCACUAGUCGAGUGACACUGCGCCGAAAAUGUACCGGGGCUAAACAUAUUACCGAAGCUGUGGAUUGUCCUUUGGACAAUGGUAGGAGAGCGUUCUAAGGGCGUUGAAGCAUGAUCGUAAGGACAUGUGGAGCGCUUAGAAGUGAGAAUGCCGGUGUGAGUAGCGAAAGACGGGUGAGAAUCCCGUCCACCGAUUGACUAAGGUUUCCAGAGGAAGGCUCGUCCGC
rnacentral:rRNA from 1 species